GGGAUCCCGGGGGUUCGCCUCCGGGUGAGAGUGGCGAACGGGUGAGUAAUGCGUGACCGACCUGCCCCAUACACCGGAAUAGCUCCUGGAAACGGGUGGUAAUGCCGGAUGCUCCGGUUGGAUGCAUGUCCUUCCGGGAAAGAUUCCAUCGGUAUGGGAUGGGGUCGCGUCCUAUCAGCUUGAUGGCGGGGUAACGGCCCACCAUGGCUUCGACGGGUAGCCGGCCUGAGAGGGCGACCGGCCACAUUGGGACUGAGAUACGGCCCAGACUCCUACGGGAGGCAGCAGUGGGGAAUAUUGCACAAUGGGCGCAAGCCUGAUGCAGCGACGCCGCGUGCGGGAUGAAGGCCUUCGGGUUGUAAACCGCUUUUGAUCGGGAGCAAGCCCUUCGGGGUGAGUGUACCCUUCGAAUAAGCACCGGCUAACUACGUGCCAGCAGCCGCGGUAAUACGUAGGGUGCAAGCGUUAUCCGGAAUUAUUGGGCGUAAAGGGCUCGUAGGCGGUUCGUCGCGUCCGGUGUGAAAGCCCAUCGCUUAACGGUGGGUCUGCGCCGGGUACGGGCGGGCUGGAGUGCGGUAGGGGAGACUGGAAUUCCCGGUGUAACGGUGGAAUGUGUAGAUAUCGGGAAGAACACCAAUGGCGAAGGCAGGUCUCUGGGCCGUCACUGACGCUGAGGAGCGAAAGCGUGGGGAGCGAACAGGAUUAGAUACCCUGGUAGUCCACGCCGUAAACGGUGGAUGCUGGAUGUGGGGCCCGUUCCACGGGUUCCGUGUCGGAGCUAACGCGUUAAGCAUCCCGCCUGGGGAGUACGGCCGCAAGGCUAAAACUCAAAGAAAUUGACGGGGGCCCGCACAAGCGGCGGAGCAUGCGGAUUAAUUCGAUGCAACGCGAAGAACCUUACCUGGGCUUGACAUGUUCCCGACGGCCGUAGAGAUGCGGCCUCCCUUCGGGGCGGGUUCACAGGUGGUGCAUGGUCGUCGUCAGCUCGUGUCGUGAGAUGUUGGGUUAAGUCCCGCAACGAGCGCAACCCUCGCCCUGUGUUGCCAGCACGUCAUGGUGGGAACUCACGGGGGACCGCCGGGGUCAACUCGGAGGAAGGUGGGGAUGACGUCAGAUCAUCAUGCCCCUUACGUUCAGGGCUUCACGCAUGCUACAAUGG
rnacentral:rRNA from 1 species